rnacentral:rRNA from 1 species
GUGUCAGCCGCCGCGGUAAUACGUAGGUGGCGAGCGUUGUCCGGAAUCACUGGGCGUAAAGGGCGCGUAGGCGGCAAUACAAGUCGCAUGUGAAAUACCAGGGCUCAACCCUGGGGUGUCAUGCGAAACUGUAUAGCUUGAGUGCAGUAGAGGUAAGCGGAAUUCCUGGUGUAGCGGUAAAAUGCGUAGAGAUCAGGAGGAACACCGGUGGCGAAGGCGGCUUACUGGGCUGCAACUGACGCUGAGGCGCGAAAGCGUGGGGAGCAAACAGGAUUAGAUACCCCAGUAGUCC